AUUGAACGCUGGCGGCAUGCCUUACACAUGCAAGUCGAACGGUAACGCGGGGCAACCUGGCGACGAGUGGCGAACGGGUGAGUAAUGCAUCGGAACGUGCCCAGUAGUGGGGGAUAGCCCGGCGAAAGCCGGAUUAAUACCGCAUACGACCUACGGGUGAAAGGGGGGGAUCGCAAGACCUCUCGCUAUUGGAGCGGCCGAUGUCAGAUUAGGUAGUUGGUGGGGUAAAAGCCUACCAAGCCGACGAUCUGUAGCUGGUCUGAGAGGACGACCAGCCACACUGGGACUGAGACACGGCCCAGACUCCUACGGGAGGCAGCAGUGGGGAAUUUUGGACAAUGGGGGAAACCCUGAUCCAGCCAUGCCGCGUGCGGGAAGAAGGCCUUCGGGUUGUAAACCGCUUUUGUCAGGGAAGAAACGCUCUGGGCUAAUACCUUGGAGUAAUGACGGUACCUGAAGAAUAAGCACCGGCUAACUACGUGCCAGCCGCCGCAGUAA
rnacentral:rRNA from 1 species